UGCAGUCGACGGAAAGGCCUAGCUUGCUGGGUACUCGAGUGGCGAACGGGUGAGUAACACGUGGGUGAUCUGCCCUGAACUCUGGGAUAAGCCUGGGAAACUGGGUCUAAUACCGGAUAUGACCUUGGAGUGCAUGCUCUGGGGUGGAAAGCUUUUGCGGUUCAGGAUGGGCCCGCGGCCUAUCAGCUUGUUGGUGGGGUAAUGGCCUACCAAGGCGACGACGGGUAGCCGACCUGAGAGGGUGAUCGGCCACACUGGGACUGAGACACGGCCCAGACUCCUACGGGAGGCAGCAGUGGGGAAUAUUGCACAAUGGGCGCAAGCCUGAUGCAGCGACGCCGCGUGAGGGAUGACGGCCUUCGGGUUGUAAACCUCUUUCACCAGGGACGAAGCGUGAGUGACGGUACCUGGAGAAGAAGCACCGGCCAACUACGUGCCAGCAGCCGCGGUAAUACGUAGGGUGCGAGCGUUGUCCGGAAUUACUGGGCGUAAAGAGCUCGUAGGCGGUUUGUCGCGUCGUCUGUGAAAUUCUGCAACUCAAUUGUAGGCGUGCAGGCGAUACGGGCAGACUUGAGUACUACAGGGGAGACUGGAAUUCCUGGUGUAGCGGUGAAAUGCGCAGAUAUCAGGAGGAACACCGGUGGCGAAGGCGGGUCUCUGGGUAGUAACUGACGCUGAGGAGCGAAAGCGUGGGUAGCGAACAGGAUUAGAUACCCUGGUAGUCCACGCCGU
rnacentral:rRNA from 1 species